AUGUUGGUUAUUAUCAUACUUCAAGUUUUUUUUUUAAUCUUUACCUAAGUAUACGGUUAACAUUUUCUGUAGAUAAAUUAGAUCGAGAUGAAGAAGUUAGAAUAUAUGGAUUUAAUUUUCGAAUUGCAAUUUGAAAAUUAAACAUGAAACUUUAAGUUUAUAUUUUUUUAAUAUUUAAAUAAGAACAUGGCCAACACUUUGGGAAAUUUUCAUCGGCAUACAAAAGGUGUUGGUGGUGGCUGUGGAGUGGGAGGUGCUGGCCCUGGCUGGCUGUGCUCCGGCUCUUGACCUGGUGAGGGCGGGCGGCUACGAUUCCAGAACUCCUGCAUCUUAAACCUCUGGGCUUCUGUCUGUAUGGCUGUUUGGUGGCCGGUCACAGAGAAUGUUCCGCGCCGCGGAAUCUGCGGACAAGAAAACGUCGUGAGUUUUCCGGCCACUUCCGGGUGUAAGUUUCGCGGGGGAAAGCGGAAGGGACCUGCUUGGAGCGCGGGCGGGCGACGACUAACUUCUUGGUGGAAAACUUGGGCGCCGCGACGCUUUCUUGCGGGGAGGGAGGACGCGCGCGCCUCGCGAAGACGCCGCUCCAACUAGCAAGACGCGGCGCCGCCCCCGCUGCCUUAGACGACAUCAAGAACAUCCCCACCGCCUUAGCGCACGCGUACACAGUUUUUUCAGCGAAAAACCGCGUCCGGUCAAGGAAAAGACGGCGCGGUCCGGACUUCGGACGACGAUUAAACGCGGUCGCUACGCCGGACCGGCUACCUCGGACCGAGGCCCAAAUAACUAUCAAAAAGGGCGCCAAUACAAACCCUCUCGCUCGCUCGACCCCUACACGCUUCCCACCCUAGUUAGAAAGGGACGGGUAGCUAAACGAAUUUUUUCUAAGCCGCUAUUAGUGAGGGAGGAAAUAGAAAAGAAUGGGUUUCUUUAUGAUUUUUUCUUGAUAGCCUUUCUCGCUUGCACUCGGGGUCACCCUAUAAUUGCGUUUCGUUUCGAGUUUUUAAGUAUUCUUUCUGUUCCGCCUCUUGUACUAUUGAAUUUUUUUAUUCAGGCGGGGCUUAGAUUAUGGGGAUUUAGCCAACGGCCUUUUAUAAGCGUGUUUGUUCAUUUUUUACCUAAAUGUAGAAAAUUUUUAGUCACACCCAACUGAUUAAAUUACCUACACUUUUGACACACACUUAAAUUAAUAAAGUAGUCUAAUUUAACAUUACUUAUUUAGUUUUUAAGAAUAUUUGUAUUAUUAAGAAUGAGUUUCAAAUGGUUUUCAUCUUAGUAAGACUACACGGCUCUAGAAAAUAUCUUUCGCUACCCCUCAAUAGAUGGCAUCGUCUCAAUUAUAUUCACUUGAAAAGUAUCCUUUAAUUUGUUAAGUUUUCAUAAUAAAUUAUGUUUAUUUCUGUAGUUAUUAGUACGGAGUUAU